GACGAACGCUGGCGGCGUGCUUAACACAUGCAAGUCGAACGGAAAGGCCCUGCUUUUGUGGGGUGCUCGAGUGGCGAACGGGUGAGUAACACGUGAGUAACCUGCCCUUGACUUUGGGAUAACUUCAGGAAACUGGGGCUAAUACCGGAUAGGAGCUCCUGCUGCAUGGUGUGGGUUGGAAAGUUUCGGCGGUUGGGGAUGGACUCGCGGGUUAUCAGCUUGUUGGUGGGGUAGUGGCUUACCAAGGCUUUGACGGGUAGCCGGCCUGAGAGGGUGACCGGCAACAUGGGGACUGAGAUACGGCGCAGACUCCAACGGGAGGAAGCAGUGGGGAAUAUUGCAAAAUGGGAGGAAGCCUGAUGAAGAAACGCCGCGUGCGGGAUGACGGCCUUCGGGUUGUAAACCGCUUUAGCAUGUGACGAAGCGUGAGUGACGGUAAUGGGUAAAGAAGCACCGGCUAACUACGUG
rnacentral:rRNA from 1 species